rnacentral:rRNA from 1 species
GCCAGACUCCUUCGGGAGGCAGCAGUGGGGAAUAUUGGGCAAUGGGCGCAAGCCUGACCCAGCAACGCCGCGUGAAGGAAGAAGGCUUUCGGGUUGUAAACUUCUUUUCCCAGGGACGAAGCAAGUGACGGUACCUGAGGAAUAAGCCACGGCUAACUACGUGCCAGCAGCCGCGGUAAUACGUAGGUGGCAAGCGUUAUCCGGAUUUACUGGGUGUAAAGGGCGUGUAGGCGGGACUGCAAGUCAGAUGUGAAAACCACGGGCUCAACCUGUGGCCUGCAUUUGAAACUGUAGUUCUUGAGUACUGGAGAGGCAGACGGAAUUCCUAGUGUAGCGGUGAAAUGCGUAGAUAUAAGGAAGAACACCAGUGGCGAAGGCGGAUGACUGGACGGCAACUGACGGUGAGGCGCGAAAGCGUGGGGAGCAAACAGGAUUAGAUACCCUCGUAUU